rnacentral:rRNA from 1 species
CAAUAGCGUAUAUUAAAGUUGUUGCAGUUAAAAAGCUCGUAGUUGGAUUUCGGGGUGGUCUGGCUGGUCCGCCGCAAGGUGAGUACUGGUCAGCCGCCCUUCCUCUCGAAAGCCCCGACUGCUCUUUACUGCAGUGGUCGGGUAGUUCGGGACGUUUACUUUGAAAAAAUUAGAGUGUUCAAGGCAGGCUAUCGCCUGAAUACAUUAGCAUGGAAUAAUGGAAGAGGACCUCGGUCCUAUUUUGUUGGUUUCUAGGGCCGAAGUAAUGAUUAAGAGGGACAGUUGGGGGCAUUCGUAUUUAAUUGUCAGAGGUGAAAUUCUUGGAUUUAUGAAAGACGAACUAGUGCGAAAGCAUUUGCCAAGGAUGUUUUCAUUAA